rnacentral:rRNA from 1 species
CCUACGGGAGGCAGCAGUGAGGAAUAUUGGUCAAUGGGCGGAAGCCUGAACCAGCCAAGUAGCGUGCAGGAUGAAGGCCCUACGGAUCGUAAACUUCUUUUGCAAAGGGAUAACACCCGCCACGUGUGCCGGUCUGCAGGUACUUUACGAAUAAGCAUCGGCUAACUCCGUGCCAGCAGCCGCGGUAAUACGGAGGAUCCGAGCGUUAUCCGGAUUUAUUGGGUUUAAAGGGAGCGUAGGCCGGUCGUUAAGUGAGCCGGUAAAUUGUGGGGCUUAACCCUGGCAUUGCAGUGGAAACUGGAGGCCUUGAGUUCACAAGAGGCAGGCGGAAUUCGUGGUGUAGCGGUGAAAUGCUUAGAUAUCACGAAGAACCCCGAUUGCGAAGGCAGCCUGCCGGGGUGCGACUGACGCUGAGGCUCGAAGGUGCGGGUAUCAAACAGGAUUAGAUACCCGGGUAGUC